AUUUGAUUUUCAGAAUGAAUUAUUUUAUAUUAUGCGUAUUUGAACAUGUAGUAUAGAACAUUUCCAAAGGGUAUGAGAAGCUGUACAGCACACAAUAUCCAGAACCUGUCUUAUCAUCGGAUUUUACUUGAAUUAUAGUUAAAAUGGAACAUAAACAUUUUAAUAAUAAGACAACAUUGAAAAGGUGAUAACCAGAUGGAAAAAAAAAAUACAAGACGCAGGCGUCUCCAAACGAACACUCUGCAAACCUCCUUUAGGGAAUUUGAAAAUCCAAGGGACACAAAAUGUUUAGGGGUUUAGACCGCUGAUUUCAU